UACGUAGGGUGCGAGCGUUAAUCGGAAUUACUGGGCGUAAAGCGUGCGCAGGCGGUCUGUUAAGACCGAUGUGAAAUCCCCGGGCUUAACCUGGGAACUGCAUUGGUGACUGGCAGGCUUUGAGUGUGGCAGAGGGAGGUAGAAUUCCACGUGUAGCAGUGAAAUGCGUAGAUAUGUGGAGGAACACCGAUGGCGAAGGCAGCCCCCUGGGAUAACACUGACGCUCAUGCACGAAAGCGUGGGGAGCAAACAGG
rnacentral:rRNA from 1 species